CGCUUUGCCAACACAUUCUAUUGCGUGUUUUAAUGUUCCUGUGAAUGCGCCCUUGAGAUUUCUCUCUCUCCCGUCCACACAGAGCUUAGAAGCAAAGUUAAGAGACUCAUCAGAUUCUGAGCUGCUGCGGGAUAUUUUGCAGAAGACUGUGAAGCAUCCUGUGUGUGUGUGAAGCACCCGCCGUCAGUCAAGAAAGCCCGGUGCUUUCUCUCAGAACUCAUCAAAAAGACGUGCUGUAUUGCCCAGAAGCCAUCGUGUCGCUGGUCGGGAUCCUGCGGAGGCUGGCUGCCUGCUGGGAGCACCAGCAGUCUCCUGAGGUCUACGUGGCCUUUACCGUCCACAACCCAGAGACGUGCCAGCUGUUCACCACCGAGCUAGGCCGGGCUGGGAUCAUAUGGGAAGCGGAAGCUCAUCAUGACCAGAAACUGUUUCCCUAUGGAGAGCACUUGGAGAUGGCAAUGCUGAACCUCACACUGUAGGACUCACACACGACUCCAACGGGAUUGUGAGAAUCAAGUCAAUCUCAUGGGAAGAAUUUUUAUAUGGGAAAGCGGAUAAAACUUUCAUUGUACUGGAAUGUUUGGAGAAUGUUAAAUUCCAAAUCAGAAACCACAAACUGCCCUCUAAUAAGACAUCGGCUAUCUAAGCGUGUGGGUGCCCCCUUUCUGCCAGCAGUUCUGGUUCUUACGAAAAUCACCAUAUAUCAGACAUGAAAAUUCUGGCUUUGUGCAGAUAAAAAAGUGUGUAUCAAGUAUGACGUUCCCCCAAUGUGGACACACUUGGUUCCUCAGAAAGCCAAGCCCACUGCAGCUGCCACAUCCCUGGACACACUCGGUUCCUCACAAAGCCAAGCCCGCUGCAGCUGUCACAUCCCUGGACACACUCGGUUCCUCACAAAGCCAAGCCCACUGCAGCUGCCACAUCCCUGAGCCUAUGGUGCAGCAGGUGCUUUUUUCAAGACAGGGAUCAAAGUGUUAGGAACACGGCAGAAAGGUGACACCUGGAGACCAAAUGCAGGAUGAGGAGUACUGCAGAGGUCACAGGGAAGUCAGAGAACAGUAAUACGCUAACAGGGGCACGGGGCAUGAAGAACAAAAGACAGGAAGCGUUUCAGAGACUCCAAAGAAGAAAUCAGGGCCAACCACAGCUUCCCGGGUCAUUCACCAGGUGGCACCACUGCCGUCAUUUCAGCUUCUGGCCACUGGGAGGCGCUGCUCGAAAGGGUUUGCCCUGACACUCCAAGAAGCUGCGGGAAGGACAGCAGGGGCCCUGGGGUUUUAGCCUCUGGCCCAGGAGUUAUGUGUCCAUAACCAAAGGGAGCACAGUCUGCACCCAGCU
rnacentral:lncRNA from 1 species